UACGGAGGGUGCAAGCGUUAUCCGGAUUCACUGGGUUUAAAGGGUGCGUAGGCGGCCUAUUAAGUCAGGGGUGAAAGACGGUAGCUUAACUAUCGCAGUGCCUUUGAUACUGAUGGGCUUGAAUGUACUUGAGGUAGGCGGAAUGUGACAAGUAGCGGUGAAAUGCAUAGAUAUGUCACAGAACACCAAUUGCGAAGGCAGCUUACUAAAGUAUGAUUGACGCUGAGGCACGAAAGCGUGGGGAUCAAACAGG
rnacentral:rRNA from 1 species